AACGACGUCGUUCCCAGGAAAUGCGAAACCGCCCCCUGGCGGGAAUGUCUCCAAAUCCCAAGCACCAAUGAACGCCGCCAAGUGCUUCGUUUGAUGUUCAAAACCGACGUCGUUUCAUUCCAUGUGAACGUCUCAUUCUCAAAACCUUCGAAUCUUUCGCAAUCUCCAAACCCUAACAUCUACAUAUCGUCUCCGUCGUCGAAUCACAUAGAAAUUCUCCCCAUGGAUGAGAUCAGAACCAUCACAGCCUUCAAUGGAGAAUGCAGGUGACAUCAGCAGGGGAUGCAGACUGCAGACAAACUGAAAGUGAAUGGGUGAAGGAAGAUAGACAACCGAGUGAGUGGGUGGCUUGCACGUAAGCUCCCCCAUCAUCUACAGCUAAACAAGUAGAAGAGAAGAUGUGUUUGUGGAGUCAGACCCAUCACCACGUGCCUUGUUCUUGCCCAUCAAACUCUCAUUGUAAGGCAAAGAAGCAGGGGAAUAACCAGGAGCUUACAUGCAUGUCAUACUGUAAAUAUAAGUGUACAACUUUUGAUGGAUCCAUGACUCCAUGCCUGUGCAUUUCCAUGUAAAUUUCUUGGUUUUUUUUAUGGGUCUUAGAUUCAUUGCCUUGGUUCCUCAUUGAAAACUUUUAAGUUAGGAUACAUGGUAGGAUUUACUAAGACUCCUAUAAAGAAAACACAAGCAUACAUGUUAAGAAACGUUCCUUAUUGUUUAGGAGGACAAUUGAGCACAAUAGCUAUUAUCUAUUUAUCUGUCAAGUGUCAUGCUAAAAACAUGAGAAACAAACCACCAACUUGCAUCUUCAUCUUGCCCAUCUUUGUACUUCCGUUUGGGCUGAUGAAGACAUUUAACAUUCCACCCAGACCAAUAACCGCCCCAAGCUGUACCCCUCUAAGAGAAAGAAAUGAUGUUUGGUGGCAGCUUCCAUCAUAGAUAGACAUUCUAAAUAGCACCACACUAGUCGUGGCAACAAGCAUUCUAUCAUCUACAGAAAAGAUUCCAUCUUUCAUUAUUCUUGUAAGAACUUCCCACUUGCGGCUCACAAGAAGAUUUGUCUUCAUGCUCUAAUUCCUGUAAAAUUUCAGACAUCACAACUAGAAGAAGGUUAAUCUAUUGAGUUACCCUAAUAAGAUUGCCAAGACAAUAUUAGAAUUGUCUUAUCCCCCCUAUGAUCAAUCUGACAACCUGAUCAUGGCAGCUAUGAAGCCAAGCUGGUCCUGGCAUUAUUAGUAGUUUAAACUGUUGAAGGACAAGAUGCCUGAAUUCCAACCCUUACCCUAGAGCUAAACUUCAGGCUACCAAUUCAUAGAGGUUCAUUAGGCCAGGUUGAGUUUGCCGGUUGGUGGAAACUGACAAGGAUAUUGGUCUACAUGCCUUCAUUCCCUGAUGUGGCAAAACCUUUGGCCUCAUUCUAGGUUCUCCGAUCUCCAUUCUUUGUUGCUACUGGACAUUGUGGUCUCUGUUCCCUUCUUGUCCAUGAGCUUGUGUUCAAUCACCAAAGUUUUCUUAAUGCUCCCAACUAUGGCCUUUCCAUGAUAUUUCAAAGUUCAUUUUCAUCACACAUACAUGGGCAUGGCCCGGGUGUUUGUGUGUGUUUGUAUAUUUGUAUACGUAAAUAUUUCAACAGCGAACAAGGAGAGAAUCUGUGAAUUUGAAAGGCCCAAGAUGAGAGCGGUUAAGUCUCUUCCACUUGUUAUGCCUGACUGUGGAAAGGCGUAGGUCUUGGCAGCUUGUGUUGCAAAUAAUCUCGACUACAGCAACGUGGAUUAGCAUCCGCUUUAUGGUCCCCAGUCACAUGAUUGAACCAUCAGUGAAAGUAGGCGCCCAUAUAUUUGUCGUCUUUGAUCCCCUGGUCGGGUGAAUGGAUUGUAUUUCCUGAGCAAACCUAUCAUUCUACUUUUCUUUUUCGGGGUUAGAUCACCCAGGCAUUGCAGUUUUCCGUGACAAAUGGAUCAUUUUAUGUUAGGUGGCCUGAGUGCAGACAAAAUAAGGAUGGUUGAUGGGUUCACUUCUCAGCAAGUCUAUGGAUCAUGUGUGGAAGUUUAAGGAAAAAAAAAGGUUAUGUUUUUUUGAAGAAAUCCUCCUUAUCUUAACAGGAACCCAUGCACCCUCUUAAUUAAAGGAAAUCAGCUUUUACUUUUAGGAAUGCAGGUCUUGCAAUUGGGUGAGGCAGUCGUCAGUUGAUGGGGGGUGGGGGGAUGAUUGCCUGGACUUCAAAGCUCUGCUUGCUAUGUUGCUAGGUCUGCAAUUCAUUUAUGUUGUGGCAGCUUCUUUUGGGGUUUUGGACCGCCCUUUUGCCAUGCCCUUUCUGGAUUCAUGGUUCGAUUUAUUAUCUUUGGAUUCUAGAUCCGUGUUAUAAGUCCCUAAAAUUGUUUUUAGUACUUGAUUACAAGUGCCCCAUACCUGUAUAGUUGGCCCCACCAUGUUCGGAUUGCAUGGUGAUCACGAGCAAUUUUCAUAAAUAUAAAACAAACACCUGGGGAAAUUCCGAAAUUUAGCAACUCCUCCUGCAUUCAUGUUUGAUACAACUUUUGAACUUCCAACUCAAAUCUCUAGUCCUCUUCAUAGGAUAAGUAGGUGAAAUAUUAGUUAAAAAAAUAAGAGUGAAAAACAAGGUUGACCCUAGAGUGAAAGUGAGUCCGUGAAACAAGCUCUGGCACCCUGAGUGUUAAAAGAGAGACACACCACUCUGGAGAAAUGUCCAAUCCAGUGCCGUGGAUUGAGCGAGAGGUUCUUUACUCUUUUUCCAUAUGGGGUACAUUAUUUGAGAAAUGAGAAGAGGCACAAGUGGUAGUAGUAGGGCUGUGGGAGGAGGGGAGUUUUUGGUUGUGCGGUUCAAUGCGUUCAUAAUGCAUGUGCAUCCCCACGUGAAGCAGCGGGCUGGGGGGGGGUCUCUGAGCAUGGACCUUUUUGGACUAAUCCGCCGAUUACUUGGACUACCGACCAUUUCCCAUUUUGAUUUCUCUCAUUUAUGCUGCUUCUUUUUUCAAAUUAUUACUCUUACUCUUAGGAUGCUUCUCUCUCAUCCACGUGGUUAUUAUUUCACAUGAUUUCUUUCCUCUUUACUUUUAAUUUUGCAUGAUAAAAAAGUGUUUUUACUCGUCACUUUCUUUAUUACCCAAAUUUUUGCUUUUGUUAAAUUCAACGAUCGUGUCAUACGAGCCCACGAUUCUAAGUCUCAGUAAAGACAGUAAUAAUACCUUUCAAUUUCUCUAAGCAUGUUCUUCAUAAUAUUUUGGUUAAAUUAACCUUUUAUCAACCAUCUUAAUAUCGCAUAAAUUAAAUCAGUAUUUUUAAAAAAGAAAAUUUAGAUUGAAGCCGCAUAAAAAUGUUGACUUCUGUUAGUUCACAAACUUCAGGGGACCUGACAUAUUCAAGUUAAUUUUUUUAAAAAGAAGUCCUUUUCAAUGUUGAACUCUCAGGAAUGGUUUAAGGUUCCCGCUUCGCUUCAUUCUCCUGGAGUCCAAACGCAAGUCUUUUGAUGGCUGAGAAGCUGAUAAAAUUUGAAUUGUUUUCACUUUUGGGAAAAGGAAAGGGAAAGAAAAGGGCAAGCAAUAGGGACUAGGGAGUAGAUUUGCGAUAAAAGUGGAGCAGUGUUAGUCUUUUAGAAGGCCAUAGUAUAUUAGUAUCAGAAGUUUUGGUACUCUCAGGGGGCCACUCUGUAACGUACUCGCCCAUCCAGGGAGGAACGUAGGAUUGAAAUGGGCAUAAGGCAGCAGCCAAAAGAUACGCCGCAUCGCCUUGCACAUGAGGCUGUACCCUAUGGACGUGCCUCAUCUUAUUCAUCUCACCCAUCCAAUCAAUCUUUUUUUGAAAAAAAAAAAAAAAAAAAAAA